AUCAAAACUACAAGGGUUGAACUUGUACAUUUUAAUUAAAGUUUGGUUAAGUAGUGGAAGAUCACAAACAUCAGACAUAAGUCUGAUGUUGGUGUCGAUGCAAGCCAAGGGCCAAGAAGGGUUUCUCAUGAUGAUGAAAUGUUGAAGAAUUGAAGCAAAAUCCAGCCUUAAUUCUCUUGCAUGUGUAGAGAUUCUACAUCAAAAAGCUAUAUGAAACAUGUGGAAUGUGUCAAGGAGAGCUCAAGCAUAGGAGGAUAACGGGUCAAGAUAAGGCAAGGUGACAAAUACACUUAUUGGAGUACUCAAGUGCAGGUUAUGAAUGUCGGACUUUCGAAGUGUUGAUAUAAUAACGAAACGGUUGAAUGUUGAAAGGAUAAUCGGAUUAAAGUAACUUAUGCGGUUAGAAUAUGCUAUGGACGUUUUAGUUUAUACAACAUUUUAUGUUUGGUCGUCAUCAUCUACCAACGGGUAAAUCCUCAAUUCAGGCGACUUGGAGAAUCGGAGCGAGCGCGUGUUCAUGUUAUGUCAUACCAAACGCUUCCGCUAGCUUGUUCAAAUGUUUUUGAUCCAAAAUUUGUUGUAUUGGUUUUUAGUAGUAUCUUGUUGAACGAAUUGUAGAAUUGUAUCUAGUUUGUUUAUGUUUAAAACAGGGGUAUGCUCGUUUUAUGGACGGGUCAUGCCCGAUUUUUGUUAAAUUAUAGUAUGAUAAUAUCACAUUUAGGAAGAUGAAAUUUUGGGCGUAA